rnacentral:rRNA from 1 species
UUCGCCCCAGUAACGGCGAGUGAAGCGGCAAUAGCUCAAAUUUGAAAUCUGGCCCUUUCAGGGUCCGAGUUGUAAUUUGCAGAGGGCGCUUUGGUGUCGGCAGCAGCCUAAGUUCCUUGGAACAGGUCAUCAUAGAGGGUGAGAAUCCCGUAUGUGGCUGCUUGUCUUCACCGUGUAAAGCCCCUUCGAUGAGUCGAGUUGUUUGGGAAUGCAGCUCUAAAUGGGAGGUAAAUUUCUUCUAAAGCUAAAUAUUGGCCAGAGACCGAUAGCGCACAAGUAGAGUGAUCGAAAGAUGAAAAGCACUUUGGAAAGAGAGUCAAAAAGCACGUGAAAUUGUUGAAAGGGAAGCGCUUGCAGCCAGACGUGCCCGUAGUUGCUCAUUCGGGGUUCUCCCCGAUGUACUCUUCUAUGGGCAGGCCAGCAUCAGUUCGGGCGGUUGGAGAAAGACCUGUGUCACGUAGCUCUCUUCGGGGAGUGUUAUAGGGCAGGUGGAAUGCAACCAGCCUGAACUGAGGUCCGCGCAUCUGCUAGGAUGCUGGCGUAAUGGCUGUAAGCGGCCCGUCUUGAAACACGGACCAAGGAGUCUAACAUCUAUGCGAGUGUUUGGGUGUCAAGCCCGAGCGCGUAAUGAAAGUGAACGGAGGUGGGAACCCCUCGGGGUGCACCAUCGACCGAUCCUGAUGUCUUCGGAUGGAUUUGAGUAAGAGCAUAGCUGUUGGGACCCGAAAGAUGGUGAACUAUGCCUGAAUAGGGUGAAGCCAGAGGAAACUCUGGUGGAGGCUCGCAGCGGUUCUGACGUGCAAAUCGAUCGUCAAAUUUGGGCAUAGGGGCGAAAGACUAAUCGAACUAUCUAGUAGCUG